GAUGAAGAACGUAGCGAAAUGCGAUAAGUAGUGUGAAUUGCAGAAUUCAGUGAAUCAUCGAAUCUUUGAACGCACAUUGCGCCCCAUGGUAUUCCGUGGGGCAUGCCUGUUCGAGCGUCAUUUACCCCCUCAAGCUCCGCUUGGUGUUGGGCGUCUGUCCAGCUUCGCGCGCGGACUCGCCCCAAAGGUAUUGGCAGCGGUCGUGCCAGCUUCUCGCGCAGCACAUUGCGCUUCUCGAGGCACCGGUGGGCCCGCGUCCAUCAAGCUCACCCCCCCAGUUUGACCUCGGAUCAGGUAGGGAUACCCGCUGAACUUAAGCAUAUCAAUAAGCGGAGGA
rnacentral:misc_RNA from 1 species